GAUGAAGAACGCAGUGAAAUGCGAUAAGUAAUGCGAAUUGCAGAAUCCGUGAGUCAUCGAAUCUUUGAACGCACAUUGCGCCCUCUGGUAUUCCGGAGGGCAUGCCUGUUCGAGCGUCAUUAUCACCCCUCAAGCCCGGCUUGUUGUUGGAUGCAGCGCUUAUCCCGCUCCUCCCAAAGAUAAUGACGGCGUCUGCGACGACUCCUGUACACUGAGCUUUCGGGCACGUACACGGCUAGAAGUCCAGACCCGGUCGCCGCCCCCCCCGCGGGGACACCCAUUACCACAAGGUUGACCUCGGAUCAGGUAGGAAUACCCGCUGAACUUAAGCAUAUCAAUAAGCGGAGGA
rnacentral:misc_RNA from 1 species